CAAUCGCCUCAGUCCGGCACCACUUGAAGUCAGGUCAGGUCAGGUCAGGUCAGCUCUGGGUGGGACACAGGAGGGUGUGGAAGGGUUUAAGGGUGUGCUGUGUUCACCAGUCCUACUUCCCUUACUGUAACAAAAAAAAAAAAAAAUAAAUAAAUAAAAAAAAAAAAAAAUAAUAAAUAAAUAAAUAUAUAAAUAAAUAAAUGGAGGACUUUCAAAUCUGCUUCUGUGUAAAGGGCAACACUGCACUUGUCUGUUUCUCUAUCUGGAAGUAGUGACUCACCUUCAGACAGAGGGACAUUGAAACAGCUCUGAAGGUUCCCCAUUAGAAGGUUGUGUUGGGACUGGUGAACAUAGUGUGUUGCUGAUAGUGUUGGUCAGUGGGUCAUAUUAGGUCAAGGUGGGGGUGGAAGACCUGAGUACGUAUAUAGACAAUGUAUAGGAUUACGUAUGAGGACUUCAGGGUAAAAUAUAAGGUCAUUAGGUCAUUAACAUGUUGUUAGUAGUGUUAGUCAGUGGGUCAUGUUAGGUCUAGGUGGAUUUGGAAGAGCUUGAGCAUAUAGACAAUGUAUAGGAUUAUGUACAAGGACUUCAGGGUAAAAUAUAAGGAAUUAGAAACUCCUGAAGGUCAGUUUAGGUCAUUAGGUCAUCAUUUUGUUAUUGGCAGUGUUAGUCAGUGGGUCAUAUUAGGUGAAGAGGGUGGAAGACUUUGAGGAUAUAGACAAUGUAUAGGAUUACAUACAAGGACUUCAGAGUAAGAUAUAUAAAAAAUUAGAAACUCUUAAAAAUCCCUUCAGGUCAUUACGUUAAACGUCUCACCCAUUCAUUUAUAGGGAGAGGCCACUUCUGAGUUAUAUUAGGGCAUUUAGGUCACAUAGAGAUAUGUAGAUGCAGCCAGUUUGAAGUAGAAGACAAACUAGUAAGUACUUGAGUGUUAAAGCAUCAAGGGUUUGGGCAGGGUGAGGUCAGGGACAAUAUUUUCCAUCCACCUUCAAUUGUGUUAUGGGUUUCUGUGUAGUUUGUCCCUAGUAGUAGGUCUCAGGCUGGGUGGGUUAUUCUUACAGGUUCCAGUUAGGCCCAAGUCACACUCCUAUCCGUUACAAGUUCAUUCCCUAGUGUUGAGGUUUCCAGGUAUAGGUCUCAGGCUGGGUGGGUUAUUCUUACAAGUUCCAGCUAGGCCCAAGUCACACUCCUUUCAGUUACGAUUUCAUCCCCUAAUGUUGAGAAAUGUCACAAAUAACCCCUCAAACCUUUAUCAUGUGGCUGUAUUGCUUCAUGUAGAUCUAUAGAGGCAGCUUGGAGUGUGUUUUGGGGCUUUACAGAGAGUGUGUAUAUCUGUGUGUGUGUGUUUGUCAGAGAAGUAGACUGUUGACGUUUGUUUUGUUUCCAUGUGCAAUAUUUCCAAAAGUGGUUAUCACACCUUGGUCCUGCAGCCUUGUGUUGGCGGCUGCAGUGUCUUCCAGUCCUGUGCUUUUGUUGUCAGUUUUGUCGCUUCACUUGAUUUGUCUGUAGUAGUCCGCUUAGUGUUGUCCCGUCCACUCUGUCUGCUGCUGUCUGUAGUAGUUUUGUGUCCCAGUGUUGUAUUGGCUUGAGUUCUGAGUUCUGCCGUUGUGUUGCUUAUCAGCUGUGUUGGUGUGACCUCAAGUGACAGAGGCACACUGGACCCAUGAAACAGACAAGGUAACUGAUCAAAGAUCAUGACCCGACUAGCCACAGGAGACACUUGUAUUUGACCCUCCAAAGUCUGCUACAUCACUACCCAUUCCCAAUUAUUUUUCCAAGCUCUUUUCAUACAGCCUGUGCCUAAGAAGGGUGACCGUUCCAAUCCCUCAAACUACCGCCCUAUAGCUUUACUUUCCUGUCUAUAUAAAGCUUUUGAAUCAAUCCUUAAACGGAAGAUUCAAAAGCACCUUUCCACUUCUAACCUUCUAUCUGAUCGCCAGUAUAGAUUCCGCAGGGGCGUUCUACUGGCGAUCUUCUUGCUCUCUUAACUGACUCUUGGUCAUCCUCUCUUAGCCGUUUCGGUGAAACUUUCUCUGUUGCGCUACACAUAUCGAAAGCCUUUGAUAGAGUCUGGCACAGGUCUUUGCUUUCUAAACUGCCCUCUUUCAGAUUCUGUCCCUCUCUCUGUUCCUUUAUCUCCAGUUUCCUUUCCGGCCGUUCUAUCUCUGCGGUGGUAGACGGUCACUGCUCUUCCCCUAAACCUAUCAACAGUGGCGUUCCACAGGGCUCUGUCCUAUCACCCACUCUCUACCUGUUAUUCAUCAAUGAUCUUCUUUCCAUAACAAACUGUCCUGUCCACUCAUACGCCGACGACUCCACUCUGCAUUAUUCAACUUCUUUCAAUAGAAGACCCUCUCAACAGGAAGUACACGACUCCAGACUGGAGGCUGCAGAACGCUUAACCUCAGACCUUGCUAUCAUUUCCGAUUGGGGCAGAAGGAACCUUGUGUCCUUCAAUGCCUCAAAAACUCAAUUUCUCCACCUAUCAAUUCGACACAAUCUUCCAAACACCUAUCCCCUAUUCUUCGACAACACUCAGCUGUCACCAUCUUCAACACUAAACAUCCUCGGUCUAUCCUUAACUCAAAAUCUCAACUGGAAACUUCUUAUCUCCUCUCUCGCUAAAUCAGCUUCCUCGAGGUUGGGCAUUCUAUAUCGUCUCCGCCUGUUCUUUUCCCCUGCGCAGUUGCUAUCCAUAUACAGGGGCCUUGUCCGCCCUCGUAUGGAGUAUGCAUCUCACGUGUGGGGAGGCUCCACUCACACAGCUCUUCUGGACAGAGUGGAGUCUAAGGCUCUUCAUCUCAUCAGCUCUCCUCCUCCUACUGAUAGUCUUCUACCUCUUAAAUUCCGCCACGAUGUUGCCUCUCUUUCUAUCUUCUAUCGAUAUCCAUGGAUAUGAUAUAUCCAUGCUGACUUCUCUUUUGAACUUGCUAACUGCAUGCCUCCCCCGCUCCCGCGGCCCCGCUGCACACGACUUUCUACUCAUGCUCAUCCCUAUACUGUCCAAACCCCUUAUGCAAGAGUUAACCAGCAUCUUCACUCUUUCAUCCCUCACACUGGUAAACUCUGGAACAACCUUCCUUCAUCUGUAUUUCCUCCUGCCUACGACUUGAACUCUUUCAAGAGAAGGGUAUCAGGACACCUCUCCUCCCGAAAUUGACCUUUCUUUUGGCCACCUCUUUUGAUUCUUUUUUGGGAGCAGCGAGUAGCGGGCUUUUUUUAUUAUUGCUUUUUUGUGUGUGUGUGCCCUUGAGCUGCCUCCUUUGUUGUAAAAAAAAAAUACACCCGACCAGCCACAGGAGACAUGAGUACUUGACCCCCCACAGCCUGCUACAUCACUACCCACUCCCAUUUAUUUUUCCAAUCUCUUUUCAAUCUUUUCUGUAUAUUCAUUGGUCUUCAUUUUUGUUAUACUGAGCAGAUCUUCUUUUUGACCUCUUUUCAAUGAAUAAACAAAACUUAAACUUGGUCCUUGGAAUAUGGACAAGGAUAGGUAGGAGGAAAAUUUCACUAUGAUCUUUCUAUUGCUCACAUUCUUUGACGUACUUAGAUGGUCUGUCGUACUAAGUCUUAAGUUGACAGUGAUGUGACUUUGCUGAUCCUGAACUUGCAGUGCGACAGAUUACAUUAUUUUACACACUUGUGCCACAGAUCACUCUCGUGGACUGCAGGGUAAUGGCACUGGAAGGCAAGCAUUAUAGUGUUGCUGUAAUUCUGCUUUCAUUUGCCGUUUCUUGCUGGUUCAAAGCCGUGUAGCACCAAACUCAGCUGUCCCAGAGUAGAAUGGAGACUUUUAGCAAUGACCUCAGCACAACAAAGCCACGUAGCACCAAACUCACUGUGCCAGAAUAGAAUGGACACUUUAGGAAUGACCUCAACACAACAUGCCACCCGCCUUGCCUUGUGUUUCCUUCAUGUCUUCUGUUUUGACUCCCAAAGACAUCACAAAGAGGCUCUUGGUGUAGGCUCUGCUACUGACCUGCUGGCUAACUGCUGUCCCAAGGUAAGCAGAGACUGAGUCAUUAUUUGCAGCAAGUCUCUUUGCACCUUCAACUCACUCAGACUCAGCGUGAAGGCUUGUAGAGGAAGUCUAGUGACCUGCACCAUACUCCCUCCACCUCUGUCUGGGACUGCAUGACACCACCUCACGACCUGGGUCCUUGGGUUAUGGUUGCCUCAGUAAUGGGCUCUUGUAGUGAGAACUCAUGAUUUAUAUUCUCUCUCUGCCUGGUGGUGGUGGUGGUAGUGGUGGUGGUGGUGGUGGUAAUGGGAAGUGAUGAUUUGGUGAUGGUGGGAAUAAUAUGGUGGUGGUGAUGAUUUGGUGGUGGUAAUGUGGUGGCGGUGAAUGCCAAGGGUGUGUAAGAUGCAUGAUGGGUUGUGAUUCCCUGCAUGGUCAUUUCCUUUCCAUCACUCCAUUGUUGAUUUUACUCAGCAUUCCACAUUCUCUUGAGUCAGGUCUUGGAUGUCAAGGAGUAACAUUCACCUUUUAUCAACAGUGUUCAGAUUUGCACUUAAAAGUUGAGAUUCCUAGCUUAGGCUCACAUGUUUAUUAGUAUUAUUUGUAUUUUUCUUUAUAUAGAGGGAUAUUUUAUCACUUAUGAAUUCCAAGUGUGAUUAUUGUGCUUCUCAUUCAUUAUGUAUCUUUAAAGAGAAAACAUUUUGAUUUGUAGUUUCUUAAAGACAUGAUAACUUUUUCCCUUGUUUUCAAGUGACUCACUCACCAGAUUAUUUUAGUGUAGUUGUAUUUAGUGAAUUUGUUGAGGAUUUUUCAGAUGUUCACAUAAACUUAACCUAACAGUUGACUGGGAUAGUCUAAGGGUGUAUUACUUGUGUAUGAGUCCGUGUGUGUAGCCAGCGUGUCCACCGUGAGGCUGGGGCAGCAGCACAAGGCUUGGGUUUCCUUGCAUCCGUGUUUAGGGUCUUUCACACGCUUGGUGAGGAAGGCAUCACUGAGGGUGUCCUGGGCAGCCUGGUUGUGCCUGGGCACCCAGCCACACACACACUAAAGAGUUUGGGGCACUUAGUGAACUGCAAAGGAGCUCUCACAUGGCACUAGCUUCCUUCCUUUGUCAUAACACGCUCUUUUAUAUUUUCACUGACUUAGAAGAAAAAGAGAUAAUUUUAUUUUCAUCCAAACAUCAGACAGACAUAGUUGAUCAUUGCUUCAAAGUUAAUGAUGCAGCUGGCCACUCCAUGCUGUUUGGAUGAAGCUGCUGUGCAGGGUGUGCAUUGUUUUGCCUGAAGUGCAGGAACGGGCCACACUUGUGAUGGCCCCAAGAUGCAGACAGACUCCCAAGGCCUUGGGCCAUGAGGAUUCCUUUGGCUUGACCUAAAGUCUCUGCCUCCCACCUCGGGGGCUCAGCUUCAAAUCCUGGGCAGAAUUGCUUGGAAAAUAUUUAUUCUCCUGAAUAUCUGAAUUUCUCAAGUGUUUUGUGACACUGAUCUUAGUGACUGAGAUGUGCGUAAUGAUGGGAAGUGAGUCCCAUCAGACAGCAGCUGUGCCAAGUGGCCAGUGGUGCAGCUGGCCACAGCCUGUGAUGGCAGCUGAUGUCCAACCACAAGUUUUAGUCUCAGGAGAUGGAGCACCAAAAUCAUAUUGGUAUUUUGUGCCAUGUCCUCAGCAAUAUCCCAUUUUCUUCUCCAAAUAGAUGUUCACUGUUCAUUGUUCAUAUUUCAAACCAUCAUCAAGAGGUGCAUAUAGUGAAAGCUUUAAGUCAGGGUCAGUCUCCAUGUGUCUGCUGCUCCAGGCUCUGGCGUCCAUUGCUGCUCUGGGGUUAAUGAGCCUUGAGUCACGGGCAUUGUAUUGAGGAAGCCCCGUCCUUUACCUCAUUUUUAUUCACAUUGUUUGUGUGUGGAUAUUUAUCCAUGAUUAAGAGCCAGUUGCGCAUCCUGAGUUAAAUAUUCCAGGUGUAACGUGCGGUACAAGGGGAGACGUGCUGCCUCCACUGCUAGGUGAAGGGCUUGCUGCCCUGUUAUUUGAAGAAUAAGUUGCAUCUCAUUAUUCUGCCUCUGGCCUCUGCUUCUUGAUAGGAGGUGUGAUACAACAUUAUGGCAUGUUUAGAAGGGAAGGUACAAAGAGAUAUAGCCAUUAUAGGGAUAGGAAGGACUCAACUCUAAUGCUAAGAAUAUGCAUAAGUACAUAGCUUUAUUUAUAAGGCUUCUGGAGCCUCUCUAAGCCUUGCUAAGGUUGAGGAUAUUACAUCUAAACUACUACAGGAGCCCUGGCACAGAGCAGAGCAUUGUCAGGGUGUGAAUGUGCAUCUUUCCCUAUCAUGGUUGUGGUGGCAGGAGGAGCGGGUGCUGGCAGGGCACAGCUGUGGCCAUAACAUAAUAUCUUCAGGGACACGUCCUGACCUAACAGCUGUGCUCCAAAGUAAGUGCUGGGAACAUGACUAAUGGUGGUGUUUUCUCUCUCUCUUUCUCUCUCCUGCCUUCCCUUAUUCCCUCCCUCCCUGCUGGUUCUGCGUCUCCCUCCACCACCCUGCACCCGGGCCCUAACACACACACACACACACACACACACACACACACACACACACACACAUACACAUACACAUGGCUGGUGCUGUGGCUGGGAUUCACCACUCACAAA